AAGCAACGCGAAGAACCUUACCAGCUCUUGACAUUCACUGACUGUUCCCAGAGGAUGGGAUCGUCCUAGCAUAGGCAGUGGGACAGGUGCUGCAUGGCUGUCGUCAGCUCGUGUCGUGAGAUGUUGGUUAAGUCCCGCAACGAGCGCAACCCUCGCCAUUAGUUGCCAUCAUUAAGUUGGGCACUCUAGUGGGACUGCCGGUGAUAAGCCGGAGGAAGGUGGGAUGACGUCAAGUCAUCAUGGCCCUUAUGGGCUGGGCUACACACGUGCUACAAUGGCGGUGACAAUGCGCAGCCACCUAGCAAUAGGGAGCUAAUCGCAAAAAGCCGUCUCAGUUCGGAUUGGGGUCUGCAACUCGACCCCAUGAAGUCGGAAUCGCUAGUAAUCGCGCAUCAGCACGGCGCGGUGAAUACGUUCCCGGGCCUU
rnacentral:rRNA from 1 species